ACAGGACUCAGCACGCGCCACCCAAAAUGAGGUUCCUCGCUUCAUUUCCAGCACACAGUGGCCACCAAAAUCUCCGGAUACCAAUCCGUUGGACUAUUGUGUCUAGAGUAUUUUGGAAAGCAAGGUUGACACUAAAAAAAUAUCAAAGUGUCGAUCACCUCAAGCAAGCGCUUCGCCGGGAAAGGGCCAAAACAGAGCAACAUUCGGGCAGGUUGUGAUGGUUUUAUUGGCCGUUUGAAGGACACAAUUCGUGCCGAAGGUGACCAAUUCGAACAAAUCUAAACUUUUUCUAAAAUUUAAUGCUAUUUCCGAAAUUUUUUGCUUUUAUUCAAUAAAAUUUAAAAAAAAUUAAUAA